rnacentral:lncRNA from 1 species
CAGCUUGGGGCUGGACCCCAGCCUCCAGCCUCACCUCCUGCCGGCCUCUCUGCUUGCCCUCCCCGCCCCAGAGGGGGGGUGGGAGGCCUUGAGAUUGUCCCCGGUACCCCAAGGACGCCGAGGUUACGGGAAGUUUGGGGACUCGGGCCCCAGUAUCCUGAGUUCUUCCAGGAGAAGGAAGAUGGCGAAGACAGUGAGGGAAGAGAGCAGACGUCUGACUCCGGGGUGCUUAUCUGUGUGGAAGAGACCGGUUCUUCCUGACUGGCUUCAUGUCCCUCAAGAUCCCAAAGAAGGCUAUGGCUAUUUCAAAGCCAGAGAAUAGGGGCAGAGACUCAGCAGCCUGCUCCUGGGUGCAAAGAGACAAGGCCAGGUGCAGCCUGUGCUCACAGUCUUGGAAGCUUGGUGGUGGUGGAGCCCCACUUUCUGUGUGCCUGUGUGUGCAUAUAUCUAUCUGCGCAUGUGUAUGGAGGCCAGAGGACAACCUUGACUGUCGUUCACAAAGUGCCUCUCACAUUUUGUUGUGCUGGAACUUCGCCUAAGAAGUGGGUUAAACUGGCCAGUAAGCCUCAGGAGUGCUUCCGUCUCCACCUUCUCAGUGCUGAGAUUACAAACUGGAGCCUUGUGUCUGGCCUUCAACGUGGAUUCUCAGGAUCCAAGGAUCCAACAUUGGGCUCCCAUGCUAACAAGGUGUUCUCCUGGCUCUUCAAGUAUUUACCCGUCUGUGUGUGACUCAUAUCCAGGAACCCAGGCAGCUUCCCUCAAUAGAUUGCUGGCUUCAGAAGAUGAGCCUCCCCUGCCGCUCCACAAGGCUCAAGUGCUUCAAUGAAAUAAAAGAGAACUGAAAUAAAAGA